rnacentral:rRNA from 1 species
GGGUUGUGAGGUUAAGCGACUAAGCGUACACGGUGGAUGCCAUGGCAGUCAGAGGCGAUGAAGGGCGUGCUAAUCUGCGAUAAGCGCCGGUAAGGUGAUAUGAACCGUUAUAACCGGCGAUACCCGAAUGGGGAAACCCAGUGUGACUCGUCACACUAUCAUUAACUGAAUCCAUAGGUUAAUGAGGCGAACCGGGGGAACUGAAACAUCUAAGUACCCCGAGGAAAAGAAAUCAACCGAGAUUCCCCCAGUAGCGGCGAGCGAACGGGGAGGAGCCCAGAGCCUGAAUCAGCAUGUGUGUUAGUGGAAGCGUCUGGAAAGGCGCGCGAUACAGGGUGACAGCCCCGUACACAAAAGCGCAUGUGCUGUGAGCUCGAUGAGUAGGGCGGGACACGUGGUAUCCUGUCUGAAUAUGGGGGGACCAUCCUCCAAGGCUAAAUACUCCUGACUGACCGAUAGUGAACCAGUACCGUGAGGGAAAGGCGAAAAGAACCCCGGCGAGGGGAGUGAAAAAGAACCUGAAACCGUGUACGUACAAGCAGUGGGAGCCCCACCACUAAGCCAGUGGUGAACUCCACAUACGCAUCCUUUGCUGAGGAUACGGUUAACGGAGCGAAAGCGACGUUCAACCUCAAAAGAAGCAGAGGGGGCUUAGUGGUGGGGUGACUGCGUACCUUUUGUAUAAUGGGUCAGCGACUUAUAUUCUGUAGCAAGGUUAACCGAAUAGGGGAGCCG